AGGAAUUUGUCUAUUCAUCGUCAUCACUCGUUUACUUUCACUUUUUUUUUAUUUUCUAUACCGCCGUCUCAAGAUAAAACUCCAAGUUUUUGUCCAAAGCUCUUUUGUUAAGUCAGGUCAAGGUGGAGAUUAUAAGAAAGUUUAGAUUAAUUAUUCAUAAAUAUUAUUUAAAGUCAGUUUUCUAAAGAAAGCUAAAAUAAAGAUUUGAAAGUAGUCUUUAAUUAAAAAUUAAAAACGAAAUUGUCUCAGGUGUACAUAUCGCCCGUCACCCUCGUCUAAAGAUGAGGUAAGUCGUAACAUAGUUAGUGUACUGGAAAGUGCACUAAGGGGAAUUAAAAGCUUUAGCGUUUCAUUUACACAGAAAAGAUUGAUUUUCAAUUUUCAUAAAUUCUCUUUGUUUAAAUCAUUAUUAGUUCCCUUUAAUUUUUCUUUUUUUUAAAAAACAACCGUAAGGAACUUUAUAUUGAUCCUAAGAAAUUUUUAAUGUACCUUUUGUAUCAGGGUGAAUCAAACUUCUUUUUGGAAAAUAUCAUCCCGAAAUAAAAUGAGCUACUUCACUUAUAAUAUUUUGUAGCAAAAAAAUAGUAAAAAUUUAGUAGAAGUGAAAUUCCAUUCGUAUUUUAUCAUAUCUGGUUUUUUCAAAUAGUAAUAUUACUUAAACCUAAAAAGGGAUAAUCUUCUUUAGAUAUUUAUUUUUUUUUGUUUCAUCCAUCUAGGAUUAGAAGUGUCUUUAUGUGUAAAAACUUUUCUUAUUUCAUCCGAAUAAAUCUUAUUAUGAAAUUUCAUUCUUUUUGUAGAGACAAUGACUCAAUUAGUAAAGAUCUAUUUCAAUCACUCUUUUAAAUAUUUUAAAAUGAUUUUUCUAUCUUCUUUUCAUUAACUUGGCUAAGUUUUCUGACUGUUUACCAAAAACAUUUCUGAAUGAUAUUCAUUUUCAGUAAGACCUGCUCAAUGAAAUUUUUAAAUAGCCGCAAUUUACGUGCUAAGGUAGCAUAAUCAUUUGCCUUAUAAUUUGAGGCUAGUAUGAAAGGUUUAACAUGAUAAUUUCUUUGUAAAUUUAACUCCUAGAAUUUUUCUUAUAAGUAAAAAGACUUAUAUUCAAAAGGGGGACGACAAGACCCUAUCGAGCUUUACUUUUUUAGUUGAACUGGGGUGGUAAAAAACUAAAUCUUUUCAUUUCGUUUAUUUUCAUCCUUAUAAUAAGACUUUCAAGUUACCGUAGGGAUAACAGCAUAAUUUUUUUCUAGAGACCUUAUCUAAAAAGAAGAUUGUGACCUCGAUGUUGAAUUAAUU
rnacentral:rRNA from 1 species